rnacentral:misc_RNA from 1 species
UGCCCGCAAGGGACUCCUCUUGACUCAUGCCAUGCAGAGAAUGGAAGUUUGCCUAUUAUUAGUUCAGAGCAGAGAAAAACUACUGAUAGCUGUAGCGAGAUGGACAUUGUACUUCCAGAGGAAGCGGGCUUAUUGAAUGACAAUGUCAAUGCUAUCAAAGAGGAUCAGACAUCUAAUGACAGCUCCUUGCUGAAUGAUGACGCUAUAGAGUUGAAUCCGAGGGAAGACAUGGAGUAAAUACAAUCAUUGUGACAGGAUGUACAUUAUCCAAGUCUGGAAUGGAUUUGACAGAAACAGGAUUACCUUUAUUAACAAAUGAUCAACAGAGGGAGGAAUGGUAAAGCAAUGGUCGUUCUCACCUGUGGUAGAUAGAGCUAUUUUUGACGGA